GAGCCAAUCACGGCGCGCACUCGCACACACACACACACACAACAACAACAACAACAACAACAACCGCCCUCCCUCUCUCGACGGACGCUGCUGGGGCUGGAAACAUACUAGGGAAGAGAACGGCCGAGCCUGUCGGUGGCUCUCCACCCUCUCUUUCUUUCUCAGGGCUUGCCUCUUCACCCCCCCCCACAGGCUGACAUUACACCCCGUUCCUUCACUCAUAGACCAACAGAUAGAGCUGCAUUGCUUUCCGUGGGAGCAGCGGCGCCCGCCUGUGGGUCUGUGCCUGCCUCCAUCUCUGCUCCCCCCUAUCGUGCGCGCUUCGCUGCGGUUCGGUGGCCAUGAGCGGCGUCGCCACGCGACCAGAGGCGGCAACGACGCCUGUGUCGGUGCAGCUCACACCGAUCGUGCCGAUCCGGGUCUUUGACGCGCAUGGCGAGUACUUUGACACAGAGAUGGACAUCGACGCCCCGCUGCGCUCGUUGCAGCUAGCAAUCGAGGACUACUUCAAGGUGAAGCCGGAGGUGCAGCUGCUCCUGCACAACCGGCAGCAAAUCCACGCAGACCGCUCGCUGCGCGACAACGGGUGCCUGCUGCUGAAAGGAGACCCCUAUGUAAAGCUCGUGUGCCUCCUGAAGCGCGGUCCAGUGCUGAACCUGCAGUGCGAGGUGGGACCCAUCACCUACGUGGUUGCUUGCCACGAGAUGGCGACGGUGUGGGAGGUAAAGAAGAUGCUGUGCGAGGAGAUGGAGCGGCAGCAGCGACGCGCCGCGCCCGGGGGCGCGGCGUCGCGCCGGCUGACGUGCGGGCCGGAGCGACUGCGUCUGCUGUGGCGGUACAUGGAGCUGAAUGACAAGGCUACCCUGCACUACUACCGCAUCUCGACGAACGCGGUGCUGCACGUGAUGCACCGCCGGCGGGCCUCGCUGCCGGCCGCCGCCGCAGCCUCGAGUCCGUUGAGCCGCGAGACGGGGCUAAACCGCACCGUCACAGCGCAACAGCCGUCCACGGCAGCGUGGUGGCAGCAACCCCGUGCAGCGUCGGCGUCGCCCAGUAGCGCUGCCUGUGCUCCAGCGGCGUCGACUGCCUCCGUACCGGAGGCACGGUUGACGCACAGCCCGCUAGAAGCGUACACCGACGCCUUUGGCGCCGCCGCAAGACCUUGCAUGGCGUUGCCGGUGGUGUCGGCGUACACGCAGCCGCCACCGUCACUGCUGGCUGCUGCGGAACCGAUGGCCGCCUAUGCCGGGCCCGUGCCGGACGCACCCCAGCACCACCACGACCCCCUCACGAGCUCCGAGGUAGUGACCUUGUCGCUCGCCGUGCGUUCGCUCGAGGCUCAGCUGCGCAGCCUCCAGCAGGAGCAGCGGCAGGUGGAGCAGUACCAGCAGUCCCUCACCGCCUACCAGCGCGGCAGCCUCGCCGACGCUCAGCAGCGCAUCCUGGAGCUGGAGGAGACGGUGAAGCGGUUCCACGCACUGCUACAACGCGCCGUCGCGCUCAUCCCUGCAGCGGCGUGACAUCGGCUCACUUCCUUAUGCGAGGGAGCGUGACCGCUGUCCCUCUGCACCUUCACCCUCACCUCUCUGUGCGCACGCUCCUUUUCGUGUUCGUGUCCAGAGCCUUUCUUGCCUUUCCGCGCCAACAAC
rnacentral:misc_RNA from 1 species